GUCAAGAGCGUGGGCUCUGGGCUUUGGAGUGGGACAGAUUUGUCUGGUUCCAAGCCCGGCUCCUCCGCCUUCUGGUUCUCUGAUCUUGGUCAAGGGGCCUGACUAAUUUCUCUGGGCCUCAGCGUCCUUAUCAGCAAAAUGAGGGGAAAAUACCCGUCUCAGAGGCUGGCUGCAAGGAUUAAAUGAGAUGAUGUUUGGGAAAUGCUUAGCACAGGGAUAAAACGCCACAGAUGUGAGCUCUCUCAUUCUGCUAUGCUGAUUGCCCUCGUGUCACCUGCAAACAGUACUGAUACCCGGGGGUCUUCACGGAAGAUGAAUCCACCUGGAUGGAGAUUCUCCAAGCCUGGCCUUCCCCAGAAAUCACCUGAGGAACUCUGAGUAAUUGUGAACAUCUGGGGUGAGUCCAGGAGAUUCUGAUCCCACAAGUCUGGGGAGACAACAAGAAAUGGAAAUUUCUAGAGCAUCCAGAGGGGCUCUGAUUGGAGAACAGGGAUUCAAACUUCUGGGCUCAAGUGGUGGAUUCUCAGAGAUACUAACAGAAUAAAUCAAUGAAUGAAGGAGUCGAUCAGAGAUGGUAAAUGAAUAAAGGGAUAAAUGAA